rnacentral:misc_RNA from 1 species
CUGAGUCGUCUCGAUUUCGAGACCCUCUCACACUUGCGUUGUCUAAACGUUGCUUCGGCAGAGCGCGACGACGUCGCCGCUGACUCCCACGGAGUGCGCGUGUCUCUGCCGAAGGUCCCACACACUUUGACUCUGACGUAGUCUGUUAUCAACAAAAUUGAAACA